rnacentral:rRNA from 1 species
AUUGAACGCUGGCGGCAUGCCUUACACAUGCAAGUCGAACGGUAACGGGCCUUCGGGUGCCGACGAGUGGCGAACGGGUGCGUAAUACAUCGGAACGUGCCCGAUCGUGGGGGAUAACGAGGCGAAAGCUUUGCUAAUACCGCAUACGAUCUACGGAUGAAAGCAGGGGACCGCAAGGCCUUGCGCGGACGGAGCGGCCGAUGGCAGAUUAGGUAGUUGGUGGGAUAAAAGCUUACCAAGCCGACGAUCUGUAGCUGGUCUGAGAGGAUGAUCAGCCACACUUGGACUGAGACACGGCCCAGACUCCUACGGGAGGCAGCAGUGGGGAAUUUUGGACAAUGGGCGCAAGCCUGAUCCAGCCAUGCCGCGUGCAGGAUGAAGGCCUUCGGGUUGUAAACUGCUUUUGUACGGAACGAAAAGCCUUCUUUUAAUACAGGAGGGUCAUGACGGUACCGUAAGAAUAAGCACCGGCUAACUACGU